CGACCAGGGCUACACACGUGCUACAAUGGCAUAUACAAAGAGAAGCGACCUCGCGAGAGCAAGCGGACCUCAUAAAGUAUGUCGUAGUCCGGAUUGGAGUCUGCAACUCGACUCCAUGAAGUCGGAAUCGCUAGUAAUCGUAGAUCAGAAUGCUACGGUGAAUACGUUCCCGGGCCUUGUACACACCGCCCGUCACACCAUGGGAGUGGGUUGCAAAAGAAGUAGGUAGCUUAACCUUCGGGAGGGCGCUUACCACUUUGUGAUUCAUGACUGGGGUGAAGUCGUAACAAGGUAACCGUAGGGGAACCUGCGGUUGGAUCACCUCCUUA
rnacentral:rRNA from 1 species